rnacentral:rRNA from 1 species
AGAGUUUGAUCCUGGCUCAGAUUGAACGCUGGCGGCAUGCUUUACACAUGCAAGUCGAACGGCAGCGGGGGCUUCGGCCUGCCGGCGAGUGGCGAACGGGUGAGUAAUACAUCGGAACGUGUCCUUAAGUGGGGAAUAACGCAUCGAAAGAUGUGCUAAUACCGCAUAUCUCUCAGGAGGAAAGCAGGGGAUCGAAAGACCUUGCGCUAAAGGAGCGGCUGAUGUAUGAUUAGCUAGUUGGUGGGGUAAAGGCUUACCAAGGCAACGAUCAGUAGCUGGUCUGAGAGGACGACCAGCCACACUGGGACUGAGACACGGCCCAGACUCCUACGGGAGGCAGCAGUGGGGAAUUUUGGACAAUGGGCGAAAGCUGAUCCAGCCAUGCCGCGUGAGUGAAGAAGGCCUUCGGGUUGUAAAGCUCUUUUAGUCGGAAAGAAAGAGUCAUAGUAAAUAGCUAUGAUUUAUGACGGUACCGACAGAAAAAGCACCGGCUAACUACGUGCCAGCAGCCGCGGUAAUACGUAGGGUGCGAGCGUUAAUCGGAAUUACUGGGCGUAAAGGGUGCGCAGGCGGCCUUGUAAGUNAGAUGUGAAAGCCCCGGGCUUAACCUGGGAAUUGCGUUUGAAACUACAAAGCUAGAGUGCAGCAGAGGGGAGUGGAAUUCCAUGUGUAGCAGUGAAAUGCGUAGAGAUGUGGAAGAACACCGAUGGCGAAGGCAGCUCCCUGGGUUGACACUGACGCUCAUGCACGAAAGCGUGGGGAGCAAACAGGAUUAGAUA